CCUACGGGUGGCAGCAGUGAGGAAUAUUGGUCAAUGGGCGCGAGCCUGAACCAGCCAAGUCGCGGGAGGGAAGACUGUCCUAUGGAUUGUAAACCUCUUUUGUCGGGGAGCAAAAGACGCCACGCGUGGCGUUCCGAGAGUACCCGAAGAAAAAGCAUCGGCUAACUCCGUGCCAGAAGCCGCGGUAAUACGGAGGAUGCGAGCGUUAUCCGGAUUUAUUGGGUUUAACGGGUGAGCAGGCGGAAGAUCAAGUCAGUGGUAAAAUUGAGAGGCUCAACCUCUUCGAGCCGGUGAAACUGGUUUUCGUGAGGGAGCGAGAAGUAUGCGGAAUGCGUGGUGUAGCGGUGAAAUGCAGAGAUAUCACGCAGAACUACGAUUGCGAAGGCAGCAUACCGGCGCUCAACUGACGCUCAUGCACGAAAGUGUGGGUAUCGAACAGGAUUAGAUACCCGAGUAGUC
rnacentral:rRNA from 1 species